UGGGGAAUUUUGCACAAUGGGGGAAACCCUGAUGCAGCGACGCCGCGUGAUUUAGAAGGCCUUCGGGUUGUAAAAAUCUUUUCUAUUGGAAGAACAUGACAGUACCAUAGGAAUAAGGACCGGCUAAUUACGUGCCAGCAGCCGCGGUAAUACGUAAGGUCCGAGCGUUGUCCGGAAUCAUUGGGCGUAAAGGGUACGUAGGCGGGUAAGCAAGUUAGAAGUGAAAUCCUAUAGCUCAACUAUAGUAAGCUUUUAAAACUGCUCAUCUUGAGGUAUGGAAGGGAAAGUGGAAUUCCUAGUGUAGCGGUGAAAUGCGCAGAUAUUAGGAGGAAUACCGGUGGCGAAGGCGACUUUCUGGCCAUAACCUGACGCUGAGGUACGAAAGCGUGGGUAGCAAACAGG
rnacentral:rRNA from 1 species